AUGCUGCAUCUCUGGGCUGAGACCAAAGCCAAAUGCUGCACUGGGCUGGCUUGCAGCUGCAAUAUAGACUAAAGAAACCACACUGAGAAGUGAAAGUGAUAUUUU